UUUAUCUCUUUAUCAGACCAGUGUUGCCAGGGGCUGGGGGGAAGGGGGAGUGGGGACUUACUGCUUAAUAGGUACAGAGUUUCAGUAUGGGAUGUUUUAAAAGUUCUAGAGAUGAGUAGUGGUAAUGGUUACAGCAUAAUGUGAAUUUACUUAUUGCCACUGAACUGUACACUUAAAAAUGGUUGAAGUGGUAAAUUUUGAGUUACGUAUAUUUUGCCGCAGUAAAAAAAUCUUUUAAACCUGAAUAUUCCAUCUUUGCAUUUUUUUCUACCCUCAAAAUUUUUUCUUAGUUUAGUUUUGUUUUUUUAUGGCUUUCCAGAGAGUUUACAUCUCUUGUUGAAUUCUCAGUGCGAGGCACAGUCCUCUGUUGCUUGGAUUCUAAUGUGUUCCAGUGGUCACAAUAAAUGGGCGCCAGAAUGUUAAGCCUUGAGCUUUGAUGAAAUAAAAUUCCUAUUUUAAGGCAAAACAAGAAAAAUGUAAACAUAACAUUUUUUCCCUGCCUGUUUGGGCCUCCUCCCUCCCCUGUGAUGUGCAUCGUGCAUCCGCAUUAUGUGUUAACCAGCUCUCUCCCAAUGGCAGAAACACUUUCUCCAUGAUAAGGAUCAAUUUUUCUUCUGACACCAACCAUGUAACUCCUUAGAAGAUAACAUUCCUUUCUCAAUCUUGUAAGAUGUCAAGAUGACCCACCACUCACCUUGUACGUGCACAUGCCUUUGGUAAACCUUAUAUACAAUGCCAGUAUAUUCUUUCCUUUAAAGAACGUGAUUGUUGCACGACAGACUGGGUCAGAUGACCUGGGGAGAUACUGGGCUGCACCUAAUGGAAGUUCUUAGCAUAAAUGCUCACUUAAUGACCUUAUUAAUGUUACUAGCUAUAUUACUUGUAUUCUGCCUAUUUAAUAAGAUUAUUGUUUCUUGCAUUACCAAAUGUGUGAUUGAGCCUCUGAUAAAAAGAAUGGUGAUUAGGUGACUUGAAAUGAUUGACCAAAUAUAUAGUUCUAUAAGAUAUUGAUUGUAAUAGUGUAACUCUAGAUAUGGGAAGACGACAAGAGAGUGGUCUUAUUCUGGACCAGAACAGACUAGUAAGACUGGUGGUCCAGAGACAUUUGGCUGUUAACAGGGCCUAGUCCAAUAAUAGCAGAUUGAGUGGCCUAUCAACGAAAUCCUCACCUCACCUGGGAAUGAGCAUUCCUAGCACCAUGGAUCAAGCUGGCUAUGAAAUGCCUCCCAAACCUUCACUGAAAUUAAAAUCAAAAGUAGAGGACUAUAAAAUAAUGUUGCCUACCAGCCAGUUAUAGAAGAAUUAAAUCAUUAGCCCUACAGUCACUGACUUACCCUGAAAGGAAUUUAGGAUCAAGAUGAGGCACUUUGUGCUCUGGGAAAACUGGCAGAACUGGCCCUCAGGUAGUUAGAUAGUUUCAGGAGAAAAUUCUGUGAAUGCAGUUUCUUACAUCUUCCCAUACUUAGAAACGCGCUAAAACCGUUAACUAAGAUAUCUGUUCCUCGAAAACAGCAGUAAACUUCUGCCAAGAUGUGUGCUUGAUUUCACAUACUUGUUUGUCAACAUCACACCUAUACUAGCCUCCCCGCUUAAUUCUUGGUUCUUUGGAAUAGUCCUCAGAGCUUCCUGAAAGACUGUUUCCCAGUUUAUAACCCUCCUGUCGGUUCGAGUAAAAUUUUCCAUUUCUUUCUCAGAUUGAGCACUGGUUGAUUUUUUGCUGACAGCUUCAUGCUCAGGAAUAAAGAGAAGGUGUUUAAAUUACUGUGGGAGAGUAGUGGUCAACAGCUCUAAACCUGAGACCCCAAUCGUAAUAACUUUUAAAGCCCCGCACACCUUUUAUCAUUUAUUAUGCUUGUUUCCCUGUAUCUUUUGCUCUAGUGAUUAAAGGUAAACUCUCAGGAGAGACUGGGGGCUUAUUUUGGGAGUAAGCAGCAAGGAAAGGGGUAGCUAGGGCAACUGCCACCUGCUUCACAGUCAGACUUUCAGAAGAGGAAGCCCAGGGGAUAAAGUGGACACCCACCAAGGACUGAGGAUGGCAUAAGUGGGCACGGGCCUCAAGGAGACACCAGGAACUGCACUGAGCAGCAGGUGGAGCUGGAAGGCCAGUGACUGGUAGGGAAGUUCCCUGUGCCCACUGUUGAGGAGGAAUUCUUUCAUGAGGUAUCCUGGAGGCCCUGGAAGAUGCCUGAUGCAAGAGAAGUUCAGCUUUUGCCCUGAGCCACCUUGUAAUCAUCCAUCACGUCCUGACAGCCUCAGUGGACUGCCUGACAGAGAUCACCAGCUGCUUCUGAAGUGUUAAGAUCCAUUCUCUCACCUGCUUAAGUUUUAAUGCUGCCUGGACAGAGGGUCUAUUCUCCAUCUGCUGGGCCAGUCUUCUGUUUCUGGCACUGGCUAGCUGCUGUUGUUGCUGCAUCGAAGCCCGAAUAUUCACUGGCAUCGGCUGUUUGUUCUUCAGCAUAUUAGUAAAGCUUCAAGGUCGAACAAAAUGGAUGUUUAAAUAAAAGCUUUAUUACAAAACA